rnacentral:misc_RNA from 1 species
CCUAAGAGAUACGUGUUAUGUGCAGUGCUCACACAGAUUGUCUGAUGAAGAACGAGCAAAAGCGCGUCUGCGAAGCUGACAGAAGUCCCCUUCGUCUAGAGGCCUAGGACACCGCCCUUUCACGGCGGUAACAGGGGUUCGAAUCCCCUAGGGGACGCCAAUGCGCGGUAUGAGUGAAAGGCGUACCACUUAUCUGACGAAAGUCAGAGAAUAACUAAGCUAAUUCAAAUGAGUUAUCUUACUUAUUAUGCUCUUUAACAAUCUGGAACAAGCUGAAAAAUUGAAAACAGAUCAAUAUAUCAACGAGGUAUAUUGGUGAGUCUCUCAAAAUCUCAAACCUUAAAGUUUGUCACGCAAAGUUUAUCUUUGAAAAAGACACUUUCGGGUUGUGA